CAGCCGCAUGCCUCUUAUCCCUCAAAACUAUCUUCUCUACUUCCCUCGACAUUCGGCCAAGAAGCUCAAGGUUCACGCUCAUACGCUGGCGGCAGCUUCAAUCGAUCGAGUGCUUUGUGGGAGGUAUGGGGUACAGAUCACUGGUUUUAUGUGGGAGGCAGCAGCUAAACGGGUCGGGUCUUGAAACCGGGUCUGAAUCUGGGUCUUGAGGAUGUAAAUGGACUUUAGACACUUAAUUUGUAUUUGGGAUUGAAUUUCAAUUUGUGUCUCGAUUUUCAUAUA